CCGGGAUUAUGGUGUUGAAAGCCGAACUGAAGUCCACAAACAGGAACAGGAACAGGAUUAUGGGUGCAACAGUCUGUCAAUGGCAGUCCCUUAUGAAACUGGACCAUUACUACAGUGACCAUAGUUCAGCUGAGCCUAUAGUAUUUGUAGAUUUCCAUGGUUACCACUACAAAUAAACAUUUUAACCAUGUGUAAACAAAAAUAUAAUCUAAUAAAUUGCAAUUAAGGCAAUUUGAAUGUUAAAUUACCUUUCAAAUAUAAUAUGAAGUAGGUACCAUUACCCAUUUUGCUUUUAGUAAUUCAAUAAUUUAAGGACUUAAAUUAUUAAUAAUUUAAUAACUUAAAUUCAGAUGAGAGGUAUCGUAUCGAUAUAGGCGAUUUUGGCCUUGAAAGUAUCGUAUCGAAAACAAAAUAAGUGGUAUCGCCCAUCCCUAGUUUAGUGUCUAAAAACGCUCGUCAAUGUCAAAAUGUCUGCGAUAUCCAAUCAAAUCGAAGGAGGCGGGAUUUACUGUCCACAGAAACCGAGCAGCGCGGCACUUUUUAAUGCUUGAAGAAUGCGAGCCGAGGUAAGAUAAGCAGCUGAACAUGACGAGACGAUAAAAUACAGCAAUAUUUACAGACUGUUUACGAUAAAACAAAGUACAUUCAUUCCAGAGAUGCAACUACUUCUGGCCUUUUUGAAUUUCAUAUUUUAAUGCCAUGUUAUUCUCACACAAUGAACAAAGAAACAUUAACGUAGCCUAUAGUUUUCAGCAUGUCAGAUAAGAGUGAAUGUUUGUGUAGCCUGUCUGUUGUCAGGAUUUCUAAUUUCACAAUCAUCUGAAAAUUAUUCAUAAAACUCAAAAUAUCAUUCUUAAAUUUACACUAAAACAUGGUAAUAGCCUAUUUCAUAUUCAAGUAGCCUAUGUCCCGUGUUAGGAAAGUAUCUAAAAUAAAAAUAUAGGCUAAUUUGCUAAUUAGUUCACAUGCAUUAUUUUACACACUGGAGAUCAAAAGUUUGAAUUAAGACUUAAUGUUUUUGAAAGAGGAAGGCUGAAUUUAUUUGAUCAAAAAUACAAUUAAAAAAAAAUAUUAUAAGAUAUUUAUAAAAUUUCAAAUAGAUGUUUUCUAUGUGGAUUUAUUGUAAAAUAUAAAUUAUUCCUGUGAUCAAAGCUGAGUUUCCAGCAUCAUUACUCCAGUCUUCAGUCAUGUGAUCCUUCAGAAAUCAUUCUAAUAUGAUGUAUUUUUUCAUAAACAUAAGAAUUUUUACACUUUUCCACAACUGGACCUGUAUUCCAUAAAAUGACCGAAGCCCCUGAAAGGACAAACACUAGAAAGGCACCAUAAAACAUUCUGCACUACAUUCUAAGACCAAACCAGAGCAUUGUUAUGGAUGGUUUAAUGUCAGGUAUUGAACUUUAGUGAUAUUAAACUUCCUGUAUGGAAAAGAGAUUUGAAAUUUUUUUAAAUUAUUCACUAUUUGCCAUGUGCACCAGGAAAGACAAAUUAUAACGUAAAGAAGUAUGCCAGUCAUUCAUUAAUAUUAAUGAUAAGCAUUUCGAUAAUAAUAAUAAUAAUAAUAAUAAUAAAAAAUAGCAUUUAUAUUUCUGUACAAAUAGCAUUUAUAUUUUAUGUUAUUAAGUGGUGUAAAAACAUUGGUGGGUUUUACGGUGAGGUGUGUUGUGGACCGUGUGAUGGGCCGCUUUGUGCUGGAGAGUCCAGGGCCACUUUUUUGCCCCAGUCCGCCCCUGUUAAUAACUAUGAUUGGGAAUGUCAUAUAUAUUCAUAACAUUAUAAUGAGCAGACCAGUGGCGGAGGCAGAAAGUGGAUGGUGGGUGGGCCAGAAUAAUUCGCAUCAUCCCAUGUUUUUCAACUGCCUUAAUUUGGGAGGGAAAAUGCACCGUCCAAUGGACCGUCCCUCAGUGGCGUCAAUUCACUAAAAGUCAAGGUAUGGCAAGUUCAAAUUACGUUAUUUAAUCUAAAAAUAUUACAUGACAAUAUCAAUUCAAGUAAAUCUAGAACGAGAUAAGAACAAGACAAAACGGCAGUUACAACAUUAACCAACAGCACCAACCGAUUAAAAAAAAUAAUAACCUAAAAUAAAAAAAAAAUUAUCACAUAUUUGGAAAUAACCUAGCAUGGUAACAGGCAGCUAUAUGGAUAAAUAAAAAUAACAAAAAAAGUCAGCUCUUGCCUUACGAUUCAAAAAAAAUAAAAAUAAAAAAAUAAAUUCUGAUUUGAAGCUUGUGACAAACGCGCACACAUUAACCCGAUCACUUUAUUUAGCGCUCAGAUUCAUCAAAUGAAUUCAUUCAGAUUAAAACAAAAGAUGUCUAAACAUAUCCAGUGUUGCCUGCUAACUGCUUACUCGUAGCAAAACAGCUGAAAGUAUUCCUCAUAUGUUGACAUUAUUUAUUGUCUUGUCUUUUAAUAUAGUCUACUUCUACGUGUUGAGACAUGGUUUCUCAAGCCCCUGUACGAGCUGUGUUUGAGAUGUUUGAGUUGGGAGAGGCUGUCUGAGGGGCCGUUCACAUAUCGCUUUCUCCGGUGCGUCCCACUUCUCGUACUUAUGCACUAUUCUAUGACGUUUUUAAGUAGUGUGAGUAGUGCGUUCACACAGAAAAUUCCAAAAAGAAAAAGUGCACUUUAAAUACCCGAACGAUGCACUAAAUUAACGGAAAAAACGAAGUGUGGAAUGUUGGACACUUCAUGCACUCAACUGUUGCAGCUUUAAUUACAUUUCUGAGGAGGAGGGGGGGGGGAUCAGACUCCGAUGAUUAAUGACAAAAUAAGCUUAUAAAAUUCAUACACUACAUGGAUGAGUACAUAGUGUAUAAGUGCAUAGUGUGUCAUUUGGGACACAACUAUAGUGUAUAAAGUGCAUGGUAUAGUGCGUCAUUUGGGACGUAACUCUUCUUUCCCAAGCGCUCGCGCUCCCAGGGCGUCUGUCGUUGCUAUGAUGUCAACAUUACAAUUUAGAGAAUGGAGUUAGCUAACAAUGUAAUAAUUUAGGCAAUUUAAUUUACAAUCACUGUUAGCAGUUUAAUUGAAGGUAGAAGCAAUGAGCUCCUGGAAAUAAUGAAUUACAUAUUAACAAUAAUUUGGAUAUAUAGAAAUUUGGGAAUGUUCACGUUGAUCCAGAUGUUGCGUCAUCUGAAGUCCUCGCAGGAGUUGGCGCCGUCUCUUCAAGUGUUGGUCAUCUGAGGCCUUCUUAAGAGGCUGGAUCCAAACAAACUGAUGUACUCUCUAGUCACCUCAGGACGGGAAAAGCAAAUGGAGAAUAAUUAGCAUAGCUGCUGUUCAUAACAUUAAGCAAAGAUAGUCAUGUGCAAUUGAUCUGAUAUGAGAUGGAUUAUGUGAAUGCUUGGCUAAAGAGAUGCGUCUUUAAUCUAGAUUUAAACUGGGUGAGCGAGUCUGAGCCCCGAACAUUAUCAGGAAGGCUAUUCCAGUGUAAGGAACCCCGCAUCGGCCCAAAAACAGUUCACUUAAUUUCACUCGUUUAAUCUGACUCCAAUUUUAAAUGAUUAUUACUCUUAGGUUUUGUUCCCAAUUGGAAAUUAAUCAUUUGUUAUGUAUUAAUUUUGAUUUUUGAUUAUUCUGGGUAUCUCAUAAUUCCAAUUAUUCGUUCAUUACGGUCUCAUCAUCGCUUAGAGAAAUUCACAUCGGCCGGCUGCGUUCUCACGGACAUAAAUUCGCCAGUUUAUGACCUAGUCAGAGGAUGCAGAGUUAACUAAUGCAUUUGAGUCGAACCGCCACAUGCUUGUUCAUACAAAAAUACAGUUUUCUUAGUCACGAUACUGCAACUUGCUAAUUCAAUAACAGACAAACUCAAAAAGUCCCAUGAUGUGCCAAUAUGCUCCUUUCAUGGGGCUCUCUGGCUUGGCCUGUCCUGACGCAGAUUUACGGAAAUGACGGACUCCAUAAUCUACUGGUCAUAAUGAUUUCAGAAGAAUCCAGAGUAAAUCAAAUAUAACAUUUUAUUUGUCAAGUAAAAAUGUAUGUCAAUUUCAUAGUUGGACAAUUAAAAGCCAAUUCAGAAAUAAUAAAUGCAUAACAUCAACUGAAAUGCACAUGCACACAGUGGUGGAUUAGUGUUUGAAGACACUUGUCCACCACUGUGUGGGGGCUUCUGGCUACAGAAAAUCCCCCCUGACUGCUUUGCACUUUACCUUAUAUACCAAGACCAGAACAAAAGGAUUGUAAAUUUUUAUUACACCAACACCUGUUUUGGGGGGAGAGGAGUGGGUUUUCACAAGUGACACCACCCAAAAGGAGGACAGAAUUCUCCUUAGUUUUCAAUCUUCUUCAUAAUACCAGUGACUGCUGUGAAAUUGAGACCAUUUUACCAAUCGCACUGAGACAUUUAAAAUGAUACCAAACAUGAAAGGAAUAAACAAUAGAUACACCAGAUACAUUAUACUUCUUGGAGAACUUUCAGUGACUUGAGUCAGGGGGAAAGGAAGGAGGGUGUGUGUGUUUUUGGGGGGAGGGCUAUUGCAUCCUGUAGAUGUGUGAGGGCAAGGCGUUGUCCUAUGCUAUUUCUUUGAGAUCUUCUCUCCAGAUAAGCUUUAUUGCUUUAUUGCAGGGUGCUUGAUCUCAGUUUUUGUCUUAGCAGGAAAAUCAAGUCUUACAGUUCCGCCCCUGGCCCCUUGGGGCAAAUUCCGAUCAGUCCUGAGGGGCCACUUUUGGACAUUUCCUGCUUCCAUAUAUUGGGUGUUGUUUUCAGAGUGUUCAUAGGCUGGCACUUAGCAGCACCAGUCGAUGGGUGCAGGAGUCAAGUCGUCACCUGAAAUAACAACAUUAAGGCAGGUUGAACAUUAAGAUGAAAGUACUGCAGAAUGCAUCUCUGUGACACACAGUCCCUUUAGGUGUGGGUAUACUGCGGUGAGUGGAUGCUGCAGCAGCUGGACAUGAUGUCUGCGAUCCUCUUGGUCAGGUUUGUUUCCACCUGCACUUGGCUGUGGUGGUAUUCUGUCUGUAGAAUGACUGGUUGUACCAAGUCUGUUGUGUUGGUCAGCAUGAGCAGAACGUGUCAGGAAAGUCUCAUUACACUUUACGGAAGCAUCUGUGUCCGCCCCAGGUUUAAUUGAUCCUGUGAGAAGUCCUCGGUUACCUUCAAGUAGAAGGUUUCGUUGCCGGGCAGGUCAAAUGUCCAUGGGUGAAGGAUUCAUUUCACUGAUGAUGCUCCAUUGCGUGCAGGACACCUGAACAACUUUUGGAUGAUCAUGCAAUACUUGAACACUAAUGAAUUUGAUAUUAUUGUAAGAUGAGAAAAAGGGCUGUUGGAAAACAGAAUAAUACCAAAUAACACAUGAUGAACAUGUCAAAAGUGCGAAUGGUAAACAAGGUCUCCUUUUCAGAGUCCUAUCUUUAGUGAGCAGGUCUCAUUCUAAUCACCAGAUUCUUCACUAUCACUGUGAUAUGAUAGUGGAAUUUAGACUUGGUCUGGAUGAGUUAAAGGAAAGUAGCAAAGAGUCGAAAUAACUAGUAUAUUUACCAGUGGUAUGCAUAAUUAAAUAUAUCACAUACUUAAACAUAGAAAUACACAAUUUCAUAAUUACAAUUAUAAAACUGUCUAUAAUAGUUGUUUUAACUGCAAAUCCUUAAUGCAAAACUAAGGUUUCAAUCAAGUCAAUUAGAGAAUGGAAUUUACUGAAACAGAGAUUUGAAAUCUCUUGUUUAGCUUUUACAACCAUCAUCUGUGCAUUUGAUGUGCAGGCUAAGUCACACUCAAGAAUACAGGUCUGACUGGAAAUUAUGUAACAGAUUGACAGAAAUGCCUGCAUUUCAGUUCUAACUGUUUAGUCAAAUUUGUCAUUAGUCAUAUGUUGUAAACUAGGGGGCCCUCCUAGUUUGCAACAAUGCCAAGGACUGGACAUAAUAACCAUUUUGUCUAAAGAGACCAGUUGCAUUACUGAAUAGGUCUCAUUUAGAUUUGGAAUUUGGAAUUUGAAUGAUCAGAAAUUCUAUUAAUUGAUGUGUGACUAAAGCCAUGCACAUGUCCUGCAUAUUACAGUGUUUCCAUAACACCUUAAAAUUGACACAAUUAAAAAGAAAAGAAAUUAUGGCAAUAAUUUCUCUUGUCCUAUAUGUAUGAAGGUGAAUGAUGUAUGCUAAAUUUGCAUUAUGUGAAAAAUUUUAGCCUGGAUAGUCUUAUGAUCUAUGCCAGGUGGAGAUGUUGUGCAUUUGUAGUAGGGUGUGUGUUCUGUAUGUUUGUGUAGAAGAUGGGUGGUGUCUAUCCUACCAUGAUUUGUGUUGCAUAAUUUAGUUCCAGUUCUACACUGGGAGGCCAUGUAUCUAUGAGUGCAAUGAGGUUUGAAUGGCCUCUUGAAGUUUCUACACACCCAUCUUCUGCAAGUAAAGUUGUGUCCUGGCUAAAUGCAGGUGGGACCAGAUACCCUUGUGGAAUCUGGCCCUAAAAAUGGCAGCUGUCAGUCUGAAAGGGAAACAGACACACAGAAAAAACAGUUGAUCUUGAACCUUUAAACAAAUUGCAUUAAGAUAGAUGGUGCCAUCUUAAUUUUCUUGAAUGGUCUUAUCCAGACAGCUGUUGCGGAUGGCUUUAAUCUGUUAAGAUUUUAUGCCAUUAGAAGAAAAUUUUUUUUAGUUUACAAAUUCAUAGAUCAUUAUUAUGAUUAUGUUUCUGCAAAGGAAAAGGCCAGAUAAACUGAGUGUUAUUGGUCAGAUCUGACUGCUGGUUUUUAAGCAUUGUCAGAGAAUCUUGCACCUUGAGUUGCUGUUGCAGCUGUGCUUACACAGUCUGUUGUGUUGUGAGGAUUAUGACACCCGGGUCUCCUGGGGGAAUCUCACACUAGCCAGAUCUGUGAUUAGGGCACCAGAUCACCAUUUGUGGUGUUGUGCUGUUUGUUUAACAAUUGGUAUUUAUGGUGCCAUUCAAAUACUUGACCAUUUGGACCUCUGUGGUCUGUAAAAACAGAAGAGUUUCUGCCUGAUAUUACCAUUUCACGCAACUUUAAUUACAUGUCCAGUAAAAUAACUUCCCUGAUCGGAUCCCAUAUGAUCUAGCGCUCCCAGAGAGGAGUUUGCUAACACUUGUCCACUUUGUUUGUGGUUUUGUUGCAAAGGAAAAUCAAAACUUGUACCUCCCCUUGUCACUGAUCAAUAGAAUCAAGUUUUAAAUCAUGUUUAGAUCUUGAAUGGAUUUAGCCUAUUCAAGAUAUGACAAUCAGGUUGAUCGUUUUAGUUAAUAAAUACUGGGCGUUGUAAUUUUUCUCAUUAAAGAUUCUUGCACAGAUAGAAGAUAAAGAAGUUAUUUCUCAUUAAUUUGAUUUCUUCCUUCCAUUUUUCUUUCCUAACAACUUAUUUAAUGCAAUUGUGAAGCACAUUGUAGCCUUAUGGCAAUUCUAUGCUCCUGUACAUGGUGUAACUGCAGCUAUAUGAAAGAUAGCUGAGUGAUCCACUCAGGAGACAAACAAAUUCAACAUAGACACACAUACAACUUGAAAUUGUUGUACAAUUUUAGUACUACAGUUAUUCCAACUUACACAAGACACAUGGUCUAGAAUGCAUAGCAUCUACAACCUUAAACCUAAGUGUGUCAAGCAUCACUUACAGUAAAGCAGUCUUAGUUUUAAAGAAUAAACUCAACUAGCCUAGGUGCACAUAUAGUAGCACAAACAACUAGAAUGUGUGUUCUAUGAGAACAAUGUGUCUAACACAAUUACAAAUUUGAAUCCUUCCAUUGAUUCCUUAUAAUUCUUCCAGCACUGAUAGUGCUCCCAACUUCUGUCUACAUUCUGGUUCCACCUUACUACAUUCUAAUUCCUUCUGCUCUUCUCCAAAACUCUUUCUCCCAUACCAUUGCUUGAAUCAUCAUGAGAUUAAAGGCCAUUCUUGGAUAUUAAUAUAUUAUAUAUAUCAUAAUGUGAUUAUAAUAUCAAUUAUAUUAUAUUAAAAUAGUAUAAAUUAAAAAUAAUUUUAUUUGCUGGUCUCAAGAGGGUCAGAGUGAUUUGUUAUCACCUCACUGAUCUUUUAGAAGGCAUUUGGCCCUGCAGCUACAGCUGUGAUGGCACUGCAUUGUGUUCACAGCAACAAGACAAACUGGAAACCAGUUCUAGACUUUGAUGCUGUGAAUAUUGGGUCAAAUCAUUGCUCAAUUCAUUUAAGAUUUUUGUGACUACAAUAUAAAAUUGGACACAAUUUUCUUAUUUUUGGACUAAGAUGUAAUCAAUUACAUUCUUCUGAGAAUCUAUUUGGAUAUGAAAAGAAAGGUUGGACAAACACAGGUCUGAUUGAGAGUACAAAGAUUAAUUUUUGGUCUGUUUGUUUUUUCAGUUUCUUUUGAGACACUGAACAACAUACAAGAGUGCAGUCAUUUUAAAUAAGACCAAGGUAAAAGAUAUGUUUUAUAAGACUGAGCCUUAAACAGUGCUGUUUACACCAUUUGUGACAUCAGUCGUAAACCUUCUUAGCACCUCUUGAACAAUUUCAAAGUAUAGUGAUGUAAUUCACCUUAUUCGUUGGCAAAAUUUCUUUUAUGAAACAAAGACAAGCUGAGCAUGUCCUCUGAAUGGGUGAAACCCUCAGGCUCGGCUACAAGCUUCUCAUUGACAUCAUAAUUAUCAUUAUGUACAUCAGUUUUAACAUUUAGUGUAUUUUCCCAGUUGCAGUCUCUAGGACUUCUGCAUGGCAGCAGUUCUCCAGGACUGAGACAAAAUUUCAACCAAAUCUUUUCUUUUGAAAAUUUUUAGUUUCACUACUCUGUUUUGUCCAGCUUUACAUUUCACACACAAAGGAUUACAGUGAGAGAUUUUGUUCCUUGUUCUAUUUUGGUUUAUCCAAUCACAAGAUUUUUCACAAGUUAACGUGACCAUUUGCUUAUUUUCAAUGUUGCAACGUUGUUACAGCAAAGCAAAUAAACAUGUAGCUGGGCAUUCUUCACCUCAGAAUUUAGGUUUUAAUUUACAGCCCUCUGUUGAAUACCAGAAUAAAAUUUGGAUUAUGUUAUUCCAAUUUAAGGUUAAUCUCUUGUUGCGUAAGCAAACAAGGAGAUCUUCAAAGUUAAAGCAAGGGAUAUCAUUCCUCAUCUACGCUGCCGCUAUCAUGUCCCUGAUAAGAUGUGGUUGUCUAAUUCUCCAGCCCCACCGGAUUUCGGUCUCCGGUCUUAAUAUGGGUAUGCCGACCCAUUCUACAAAUGCGUCUAUAUGGGAUGCGUCUAUCUUUCCCUCAACACUUCUAAAAGGCAAAUAAGAAUGGACUUACCACAACAGCUGAAGAAAGAAGAAGAUCAAACCUUGCUUGUUGCAAAUCCCAAUUUUCCGCUGAAAAGACACUCGCCAACAGGAUAUGGAAGAUCACGUCGGGGUCACCACUUUGUAAGGAACCCCGCAUCGGCCCAAAAACGGAAUCCGACGGCCUGGGCGAAGGUUAACGCGUGUAUGUCUUUUCAGCGCAUCUGUGAAGUUCACUUAAUUUCACUCGUUUAAUCUGACUCCAAUUUUAAAUGAUUAUUACUCUUAGGUUUUGUUCCCAAUUGGAAAUUAAUCAUUUGUUAUGUAUUAAUUUUGAUUUUUGAUUAUUCUGGGUAUCUCAUAAUUCCAAUUAUUCGUUCAUUACGGUCUCAUCAUCGCUUAGAGAAAUUCACAUCGGCCGGCUGCGUUCUCACGGACAUAAAUUCGCCAGUUUAUGACCUAGUCAGAGGAUGCAGAGUUAACUAAUGCAUUUGAGUCGAACCGCCACAUGCUUGUUCAUACAAAAAUACAGUUUUCUUAGUCACGAUACUGCAACUUGCUAAUUCAAUAACAGACAAACUCAAAAAGUCCCAUGAUGUGCCAAUAUGCUCCUUUCAUGGGGCUCUCUGGCUUGGCCUGUCCUGACGCAGAUUUACGGAAAUGACGGACUCCAUAAUCUACUGGUCAUAAUGAUUUCAGAAGAAUCCAGAGUAAAUCAAAUAUAACAUUUUAUUUGUCAAGUAAAAAUGUAUGUCAAUUUCAUAGUUGGACAAUUAAAAGCCAAUUCAGAAAUAAUAAAUGCAUAACAUCAACUGAAAUGCACAUGCACACAGUGGUGGAUUAGUGUUUGAAGACACUUGUCCACCACUGUGUGGGGGCUUCUGGCUACAGAAAAUCCCCCCUGACUGCUUUGCACUUUACCUUAUAUACCAAGACCAGAACAAAAGGAUUGUAAAUUUUUAUUACACCAACACCUGUUUUGGGGGGAGAGGAGUGGGUUUUCACAAGUGACACCACCCAAAAGGAGGACAGAAUUCUCCUUAGUUUUCAAUCUUCUUCAUAAUACCAGUGACUGCUGUGAAAUUGAGACCAUUUUACCAAUCGCACUGAGACAUUUAAAAUGAUACCAAACAUGAAAGGAAUAAACAAUAGAUACACCAGAUACAUUAUACUUCUUGGAGAACUUUCAGUGACUUGAGUCAGGGGGAAAGGAAGGAGGGUGUGUGUGUUUUUGGGGGGAGGGCUAUUGCAUCCUGUAGAUGUGUGAGGGCAAGGCGUUGUCCUAUGCUAUUUCUUUGAGAUCUUCUCUCCAGAUAAGCUUUAUUGCUUUAUUGCAGGGUGCUUGAUCUCAGUUUUUGUCUUAGCAGGAAAAUCAAGUCUUACACCAGAGUUUAGGAGCCAAAUGUGAAAACGCUCUCCCUCCUUUAGAGGACUUAGCUAUCCUAGGUACAACCAGAAGUCCAGAGUUUUGUGAUCUUAAAGAGCGUGAAGGAUUGUAGGGCGAUUAGAAGAUCGGUUAAGUACACAGGAGCUAAACCAUUUAGAGCCUUAUAGGUCAUUAGCAGUACUUUAUAAUCGAUACGGAACUUAAUAGGUAACCAGUGAAGAGAUGAUAAAAUUGGUGUUAUAUGAUCAUAUUUUCUUGACCUGGUAAGAACUCUAGCAGCUGCAUUUUGUACUAAUUGUAGCUUGUUUAUUGAGGAAGCAGGACAACCAGCUAGUAAUGCAUUACAGUAAUCUAGUCUAGACGUUAUGAACUAACUUUUCUGCAUCAGAAACAGAUAACAUAUUCCGUAUCUUAGCAAUGUUUCUGAGGUGGAAGAAGGCUGUUUUUGUAACAUAUGAAAUAUGAUUUUCAAAGGACAAGUUGCUGUCUAAUAUAACACCCAGGUCUUUAACUGUCGAGGAUGGAGUAACAGUACAUCCUUCUAAAUGCAGAUUGUAGUCUGAGAGAUUCUGUGUACAGGUUUUUGGUCCAAUAAGUAAUACUUCAGUCUUAUCUGAAUUUAAUAGAAGAAAAUUACUGGUCAUCCAAUGUUUUACUUCUUUAACACACUCUGUCAGAUUGGAUAAUUUAGAGUUUUCAUCUGGUUGUGUUGAAAUAUAUAAUUGAGUAUCAUCGGCAUAGCAGUGGAAACUAAUUCCAUGUCUUCUUAUAAUAUCACCAAGUGGCAGCAUGUAUAUUGAAAAUAGCAGAGGGCCUAACACAGAUCCUUGAGGCACUCCAUAAUUUACUAUCGUUAUCUUAGAUUCAGCCACUGUACUAAACAAGAACCUUGGAUUGUUUUGGUUAUUUUCUAUGAGUUUGCGGAGAUGCUCGGCCCUGGCUGCUUUUAGAGUCUUUCUAUAACGGGACGAGCUGUCUUUCCACACGAUUCUGAAGACCUCUAAACGAGUUUGUCUCCAUUUGCGUUCUAGAUUACGAGUUUCUCUUUUGAUAGCAUGAGUAAUACUGUAGUACCAUGGUGCAGUAUUUUUCUCUCCAACCUUUUUUAAUCUCAUCGGUGCAACAGUAUCUAAUGUACUAGUGAAAGUGGUGCACAUACUGCUAGUCAUAUCCUCAAGUUCAUUUGUGUGUUUGGGUACAAUGAGCAGGUGAGACAGAUCAGGCAGUUUAUUUGUGAAUUUAUCUAUAGUUGUCGGGAGAAUUGUUCUACCUAGUCGAUAUCGCGGCGCAGUUUGACAAAUAUCCGCAGUAUGCAGUACGCAUGUUACAAGGUAAUGAUCAGUGAUAUCAUCACUUUGCGGUAGAAUUUCUAUAUCGGUAGGAUUGAUUCAAUGUGAUAUAAUUAUAUCUAGUGUAUGAUUAAGACGGUGAGUGGGUCCAGUGACGUUCUGUUUGACCCCAAACGAGUUUAGUAAAUCUGUAAACGCAGCCCCUAACGCAUCAUUUGUAUUAUCUACAUGAAUGUUAAAAUCUCCAACAAUCAGCGCUUUAUCGACGUUGACCAAUAGGUCUGAGAGAAAGUCUGCAAACUCUUUUAGGAAAUCAACAUAAGGCCCUGGAGGUCUAUAAACGGUAGCCAAAGCAAGAGAUAGUAGCGACUUUUCACUUAUAUCUGAGAGUGUAACGUUUAGCACGAGAACUUCAAAUGAAUUAAACCUGUAGUUUGUUUUCUGGGUAACGUUAAGAAAAUCUCUAUAGAUUGUUGCAACACCACCGCCACGGCCAAUCAGACGGGACUUGUUUUUAUAACAGUAGCCAGGUGGACAAGACUCAUUAAGACCGAAAUAAUCAUUUGGUUUAAGCCAUGUUUCAGUAAGGCAAAUUACAUCAAGACUAUUAUCUGUUUUCAUUUCAUUUAUAAUAACCGCCUUAGGUGUCAGCGAUCUAAUGUUUAGAAGCCCUAGCUUUAGAAAUUGUUUUUGUUCAGUAAUUUUGCGAGUUUCUGGUUUGAUCACAAUCAGAUUUUUUCUAGAUCCUUUAUUUUCAUUGUUAAACCUCACUAUUUAGGGAAUAGACAGUUUCUAUAGACUGUACUACACUCACAUUUCUAUCAGUUAAGUGGGCAGAACACAGACUGUGAUUUGAGCAAAUAAUCUACUGAACCUUUCAUGUCCACGUCGGUACGUCGGAAGCGGUCCGGACACGAUGAUCCUCGUCGCGGGCAAUGUGGCUCGUACCGUCUCGAUCAGGCUCCUGAAGUCCUGCUUCAGCACCUCCGUCUGCCGCAGCCUGGUGUCGUUCACCCCCGCGUGCAGAACAACAGCGCCGAUGCUCUCAGCGCCAUUCAGGAUCGCGGGAACCUGCGCAGAGACAUCGAGGACACGAGCACCAGGAAAACAGUGACUGCGCACCUUACCUUUAGCUGAGGUAGCGUGGACGUGACGAACGAUAGAGUCACCGAUGACUACGGUGUCGCGUUCCGCCUCGCGAAGAGGGGAGAAGCGGUUCCUCGUCGAGACCUCGAAAACCAUUUGAUCAUUCAGUGUCUGUAUUGUUUCUUACUUCAAUGCUAUUUCAAGUAAUAAUUUGUCCUAUUGUUUGUAGUUUUUUAAUAACAAAGAUAAAAUAACAAAAAUAACUAAUCGUCCAGCCCUAGUUUCAGGUGUUGUUGUUUUCCUGGAUGUUCCUGAUGUUCAGAUUUAGGUUGAUAUAACUAUAUAUUUUCGAGCAAAGAGUUUUUGGCAUUUAAAUACUGGCAUAAAAUGUUUUCAUUUUUGUUUACAUUGAUGUUAAAAUGACAUUGUCAGAUUUGUGACAUUACUUUUUAAGUAAUGCUAAAACACUUCUGGUCACUUUCAGAAGUUGUAGUGAUCAUUUCUUUUCCCAGAUACAGUGUGGCCAAAAUUAUUAGAACAGUAAGAUUUAUUAUUAUUAAAAGAAGUCUCUUCUGCUCACCAAGACUUCAUUUAUUUGAUCCAAAAUACAGUAAAAACAGUAAAAUUGUGAAAUAUUUACAAUGUAAAUCAUCUGUUUUCUAUGUGAAUAUAUAGUAAAGUGUAAUUUAUUUCUGUGAUCAAAGCUGAAUUUUCAGCAUCAUUACUCCAGUCUUCAGUGUCACAUGAUCCUUCAGAAAUCAUUCUGAUAUGAUGAUUUGAUGAUGAAGAAUUGUGUAAAAUUCUUUUCAGAAUUAUUUGAUGAAUAGAAAGUUCAAAAGAACAGCACUCAAACAAUUUGGUCUCCCAAAGAGGAAUGAGUUUUCUUCUGGGACUCCACACUCUUUCCUUCACCUUAUGAGGUGUGUUAAGGCAUCGACCAUAUAUGGCGAUAGCAACACUGCAACUUUUGGCGCCCGUUUACCCCUAAUUUCCACCCGACUAAAACGUGCACAAAGUUUUUGUUCAAACUUUGUUAGGCCAGCAGCAACAUCCGCAUGGAGGGGAGCUGUGUCCCUUUCAAGGACGUUUUUUUCCUCCACGUCUUGGGUUGAACAGUAUUACUUUAGCUAGAGCUGCUCUGCAAAGUUCCCCAUAGGCUUGUGCUGAUGGGGUCUUUUUCAAGUUCUCAGAUGCUAAAUCUGCCACCUUUUCAAGAUGCUGCUGAAGACACUGAACAUCCUCUGUGAAGGGGAUGGUGGAUGGUUUGUUAAAGUGUGCCUCACUCAAGGUAGCCAAAGCUGUGUGGGAAAUAAGUUCAGCCCACUUCGUGCUGUACAGCUUUCUGAAUGUCUGGGUUGACCUUAUCCCCUCAGUGUCUUCUGCCAUUAAAGCUCUGCAGUGUAUAAUGUUACAGAUCUUUUGCAAUGAGUGACCCAACUUGAGAGCAAGGCCUGGAGUCUGGUAGGAGUGAUUUCAUCAUUAAACCCAGACACCUUCUUGACAGCUUGGAUAAGCACCUUAAAAUUGGCAGGUCUUACAGCAUCCUGUAUUGAAAACUCUCUUCGCAGGAUCAGGAGAAGUCUACCAACUUCCCGGAGCUUCUGUCGAAUAUAGUCAUAUUUAGUGGGAUCCUGUCCAUGUUUAUUGAAAAAUGACUGGGCCAGCUGAAGAGUGCAGAAGUCACUCCGGACAGCAGCAGAGAUGUCAUCAUCUUUCAUAACAGUCAACAGCUUCCAAACACCCAGUGAUAUCUGUUGACACGGGGCUGCGUUAGACAUUGUUGCCAAAGACAAGACCCUAGUUCUUCCUGGCUCUGCCCGAUCCUCCACUGGUUUGGAAAGGCAAUUUCGAACGUGUCGCCACAGAUCUCUCCAAAGAAACAUGGCAGGGCAAUACAUACAAGGCACAUAAUCUUCUGAUUUAUAUUUUUCCUUUGGUUUGUGUCUGAGUUUUAACAACCCUGUCCCACUCGCUAAAACACCUGAACUGUGUUCAUAGUUCCCUUUGUUCCUCAGUUUGUCCAGCAUUGUUUUGCGUUCUUUUGAGCAUUUUGGCAGUGCCAAGACCCGAGCAACAUCCACGUUUGUUUUUUCAUGGAUUUUUAAGUGACGUGUAAAUUUUGACUGUGGUUUGCCACAAAUGUAGCAGUAAUUCUUUUUGUUUACUGAAGAGGACACAUUAGAUGACUGUACACAUGGAUUUUCCCCAAUUCUUGUGCUAUCCUCUAAAGACUUUUCUUCAGUAUUACCAGUCCUUUUUUCACUGUGGACAUCUGAUACUUGAACUGGAUCUUUCAGCAGAGAGUGUUUACCUGUGAGGUUCUCUUGAUGUUGUCUGCCAUUUUGAAUUUCUGCAGUUGAUUCAAUGCAGGACACAUUUUGUUUGUUUGAGAUUGGUUUAGGAUGCUCAAGUUCUGAAUAAACUGCGCUCUCUUCAGAACUGUCUAAAGAAUCGGGUAUAUAGUCCUGAUCUGACAUGUCCUCACUGGAAAACUGUUCCUCAGAAUUCUGGGGGGAAAAAAAAAAAAUCUAAAAAGAAAAACUUCAGGAAGGGAAAGUUAACUCAAAAGGGAAAAAUGUUUAUUUACUCAAUCCCUGGCCAUCAAAUAUGCACAUGCCCUUCUUCAAAAAAAGCCAUAUACAUCUUUGAUGGGUGAGAAAAUAAUCAGUAAAUCUUCAUUUUUGGGUCAAUCAAUUCAUUUAGAGAGAAUUUGAUAAAAUACACUUACCGGUGUUCAGGGGUCAGGUUUGGGCUUCACAUGUUUAUCAUAGCAAGUUUUAUGCCAACAGCAGGAGCAAACUAGACAGAGGAUAAAACAAACUUGUGGUCGUUUGAUGUGAUUCAUUUAUUUUUUCUUUAAUAGCAUUUAAACAAUUAAGAAAGUUGCAAAGGAAAAAAAGGGAAAAAAAGAUAGUUGUAAAGAAAGUGAUAGGUCAAUAGAGGCAGAGUGUGUUACUGAUGAUAUGACAGACAGACACACAGAUGACAAAAGAGAGGUAAUGAUGGACAAAGUAUGUGCGAUAAAGACGGAAGAGAAAAUGUUGAAGUAGCAGUGUUAGAGGUAGUGUAAAUGAAAUUAUGAUGGAUGGACAGAAUAAAAUAAAUAAAAAUAAAGACUGAAAAAUAAAAGAGAAUGUAACUAGAAAAACAGGAGGGAGAGAGUGAUUCAAAUAUAUUGAGGGUAAAAGAAAAAAAAAAUUCAAAAUGUGAUGAGUGGAAUAACAGUGUAUAAUCAGUGUGAAUGAAAGU